AGCAAAGUAAUUUUUUAGAUUUUCAAAGUGUAACUCUGGGGAAGUCAUGCAACCUCACUGAACCUCUGAAAAAUGGGACCAAACAUUCAGAACAUGGCCUUGUAGAGACAGACAAACACAGGGAGAAUGCCAGGUGAAGAGUGGAGUUAUGCUGCCACAGCAAGGAACUACCAGAAGCCGGAAGAAAAGCC